GACGAACGCUGGCGGCGUGCCUAAUACAUCCUUGUCGAGCGAGCUUGCCUAGAUGAUUUUAGUGCUUGCACUAAAUGAAACUAGAUACAAGCGAGCGGCGGACGGGUGAGUAACACGUGGGUAACCUGCCCAAGAGACUGGGAUAACACCUGGAAACAGAUGCUAAUACCGGAUAACAACACUAGACGCAUGUCUAGAGUUUGAAAGAUGGUUCUGCUAUCACUCUUGGAUGGACCUGCGGUGCAUUAGCUAGUUGGUAAGGUAACGGCUUACCAAGGCAAUGAUGCAUAGCCGAGUUGAGAGACUGAUCGGCCACAUUGGGACUGAGACACGGCCCAAACUCCUACGGGAGGCAGCAGUAGGGAAUCUUCCCCAAUGGACGAAAGUCUGAUGGAGCAACGCCGCGUGAGUGAAGAAGGGUUUCGGCUCGUAAAGCUCUGUUGGUAGUGAAGAAAGAUAGAGGUAGUAACUGGCCUUUAUUUGACGGUAAUUACUCAGAAAGUCACGGCUAACUACGUGCCAGCAGCCGCGGUAAUACGUAGGUGGCAAGCGUUGUCCGGAUUUAUUGGGCGUAAAGCGAGUGCAGGCGGUUCAAUAAGUCUGAUGUGAAAGCCUUCGGCUCAACCGGAGAAUUGCAUCAGAAACUGUUGAACUUGAGUGCAGAAGAGGAGAGUGGAACUCCAUGUGUAGCGGUGGAAUGCGUAGAUAUAUGGAAGAACACCAGUGGCGAAGGCGGCUCUCUGGUCUGCAACUGACGCUGAGGCUCGAAAGCAUGGGUAGCGAACAGGAUUAGAUACCCUGGUAGUCCAUGCCGUAAACGAUGAGUGCUAAGUGUUGGGAGGUUUCCGCCUCUCAGUGCUGCAGCUAACGCAUUAAGCACUCCGCCUGGGGAGUACGACCGCAAGGGUGCAACUCAAAGGAAUUGACA
rnacentral:rRNA from 1 species